CACCCAUCUAUUAAAAUACUUACCCAUCCAUCACCCAUUUAAUCUCCAUUAACUUCAAUUAACGGAAUGUGCCACGUGUUGGAUGGAAAUUUGACAUGGCACAUUACAGAUGUUAAAUUAGUCCAACUGGACAAAAAUCUCAUGACAAAUAAAAACCCAUUUUCUCUAAAGAAGCCUCAAAGAAGGAAAACAAAUUCUUCCCCAACUUGGAACCCUAGAAAUCGCCCCCAAAAUCCCAACUGAAGUCUUGAAUUUCAUUUCGGAUUGUUUGUGUUUAACAGUUUUUGACAUUCUAUUCCUCCCACAGAUUGCCCGCAACAUUACAACAGAGGAGCUGGAGGCGAUUCAAAAACCCAUAUGAUCAUGGCCGCAAGAAAACUUGUUUAGAAUUCUUGAUAAAUGGAUACAAUGUAGACGUGGAGUAUUAUGAAGAAUCAACGCUUUUCUUGUUAUGGCUAAGAUGCUGGUGUCAACGGAUGUCUUCUACAGGAAAGAAAGACCACCUCUUACAUUUUCUUUACUGGUUCAGUUUUUCCUUUUAGCAUUGGUUGGAAAAUAUGUUUUCAUUUGUUAUGGGAUUUUAACGAUUGUGGCCCAGUUGGACUGAUUUAAUGUUUGUUACCUGCCACGUCAAAUUUCCGUCCAACAAGGGGCACAUUCCGUUCAUUGAAGUUGACAGAAAUUAAAUGGGUGAUGGAUGUGUAAGUAUUUGGAGAGAUGAGUGAGUAACGGGUUAUAUUUUAUAGUUCGUUAAGCAAGUAGUAAUGUAAAUUGAAGUUGAGUGAGCAUUGAUUAAAUUUACUCUUCCCUUUCCUCUCCUUUUCCUCUCCUCUCGUCUCUGCCGAUUGCCAACGACGGAACGACCGGACCAAAAUCCAAAUCAAUUUCUCUUAGAAUUUCUGCAAAUGCAAAAGAAGAAAACGCGAGGAACGAUUAUCCACGACCCAAGUCGCAAAGCCAUACCCUAACCUCGCAAUCAAUUUCGAACCUCCAUCGACAGCUUCCCAAAAUCUGAUUUUCGAGUUGCCAGUCUCACCGCACGGCGCACGUAGGUUAAAGAAAUCUGAUUUACUGUGUUUCUCCUUGUUAUUCAUUCGGCUCCUGUGCUCCGUCUUGGUGAUUGCAAGUUGCUUUUUUUUUUUUUUUAAUAAUCUUGUUCAAUGAAUAAUGUGCAUCACUGGGAUUUGGUUUAUGUUGUUUAUUAUACAUCUUUCUUAGUCAUGGCAACAAACUGAUUUUAGAUUUCUUUUGUCAGCUACAAAAAUAGGAGAAACAAGUAAUAUAGUAUGUUAACUCAUUUAAUAAAUUGUAGACUGAAAAUGCAUUUA